GACGAACGCUGGCGGCAUGCCUAACACAUGCAAGUCGAGCGAGUAGAUCCCUUCGGGGUGAAGCUAGCGGCGGACGGGUGAGUAACACGUGGGCAACCUGCCUCAUAGAGGGGAAUAGCAUUCCGAAAGGAAGAUUAAUACCGCAUAAGAUUGUAGUACCGCAUGGUAUAGCAAUUAAAGGAGCAAUCCGCUAUGAGAUGGGCCCGCGGCGCAUUAGCUAGUUGGUGAGGUAACGGCUCACCAAGGCGACGAUGCGUAGCCGACCUGAGAGGGUGAUCGGCCACAUUGGGACUGAGACACGGCCCAGACUCCUACGGGAGGCAGCAGUGGGGAAUAUUGCACAAUGGGGGAAACCCUGAUGCAGCAAUGCCGCGUGAGUGAUGACGGCCUUCGGGUUGUAAAGCUCUGUCUUCGGGGACGAUAAUGACGGUACCCGAGGAGGAAGCCACGGCUAACUACGUGCCAGCCGCCGCGGUAA
rnacentral:rRNA from 1 species